CUGCUGAGUUGCAGGGGAAACCAGCAAGCAUGGUGAUCUGUGCCCCUGCCCACCUCUCCUCUAAGACCUGGCACUGCCCAUCCACCUGGACGACUUCCUGCUUUUCAGAUAUCAGAAUGCAGGUGUGCCUGGCAACCUCCGAAAAUCCCUCACGCCAAUGUUACAGCUGCAUCUACAAGACUCCUUCUCAGAAGGCUCUUCUGUGCCAAGGGGAGCCUGCCAUGUCGCAAAGGGCGUCAGCUCCAUUCCUCCUUGGCUGGAACCACUGCCGGAUGGGGUAGAAGAACCUGCGGUCCCUUCCCAGACACACCCCACCUACUCAGCCUUCUCUGGGUCAAGGCCAGAGCAGACAUCAGUCUCCGAGAGCAGCAGGCUGUGGGAAUGCAGAGGCGGACUGUUAAUGAUACACGUUCUUUGCCUUUCAUGUUUUCUUUCCCCCCAAUUCUUUCUACCCAUUAAAUGUGUUGCAGUAUCGGGAUUUGCCUGUGUGAGUGGCUUUAAAAGGAGGAAACCAGAGGACAAGAGCAGUUGCAUAUUGACGGUGUCAUGGAUGCCCUCUAACUUUAUCCAGUAGAGCUGUGGCAAGGAUGAAGAGAGUGAGCAUGUGUAAAGGGCUGCUGGUUGUGCACUCCGUGAACCUCUGCGCUUAUGGAAAGAAGAGACAUUUUGCUGGAAGGUUUGGGCUUCCAACUUUCCUGCUGACCGAGCUUGAACUGCUAGAAGGGGAAAAACAAACAGAGAUUCCACCUGCACCACGAGCCGGCCCCAGAGUAAACAUUCCACACACAUCGGCUGGGUUAUCUCCAGAAUGAUCCUGCAUGGCUGGUGCUGUUAUUAUCUCCAUGUUACAGGACUCAAAGAACUGGUCAGGGGAGAAAGCCUGGAGGAUACAGAGAGGCGAUUUUCCCAUGAUGGACACACAGCUUCCUAAACCAGAGGCCGUCUUUCUUGAAAGACUGAGUGGGAGAUCUCAAAAUCUGCCAAGUCCUAGAGGAAUUCUGUGAAGGAGGAAUUACAAGGGGACAUCGAGAAUACAGGCGGAAUGAGUUCUCUGGGUUUAAUGAAGCCCAUUGUCACCUCCUUUCCUCGUUGGCCCCCUGGACCUCUGGGUCCCAGGGACCCAGAGAAGUUGCCAUCUCAGCUGCUUGCCUUGUGUUCUGAAACGUCAGGCUCCAUGAAUUUGGCUCCUGGCAACACCUCUGUUCCCACCUUCACAGACCACUCUCUGCCGCCCAAGCACGAACUAGCCAGGGAGCGCCCUGCGGAUCCCGGGUGCUCUGCAGCUCCCUUAACUUACUUUCAUUAAUUACAUGCUUCAUGCCCAGAUACCUGCUUUCCCAGCAGGAAUGCCAGGGAGUGUGUCCUGCUCCUCACUGUAACCCUGCAUGAGGCCACACUUAGAAGACAUACAUUUUUUAAAAUGGAGCUAGCCAAAAGCCAGGUUAAUUUUUUUUUUUUUUAAUGACAAUAUCCAUUUCUUACCCCCAACUCUUUUUGCUGUUAAAAUGCAUGGCAACACCUCACUGGGGGAGAUGCUGGCCAUUUCCUUUAUGAUUCACUUUGCCAUAACAGAAGCAUCCUUUCCAUGCUGGCUUCUUGGCAUGGUUCCAUGGAGAAACACCUGGCAGCCCUCAGUCCUGAGCUGCCUUGCUCCCUCCGGCUGAGGGCUGAGAGCCGCCCACGGGUGAACAGCAGGGUGUUUGGUACCUUAGCGAGAUCGUUAGCUGAUCAUUUGGAAGAACAACAGCAGUGAUGAUACUGAGUAUUUGUAUUAUAAUUUUUCAUUUUCCAAAAUAGCUAUUAGACUAGGGGGCUCCAAGGGCCCCAGAGACCGAGCCCAAUUCUCUCAUUUACAGACGAGGAAAAUCAUAAAGGUAAGAGCACCUCAAAUCCUGGGUGACCCUCACCACACGCUUCCAUUGGGCCAGUGCCCAUUUCGCAGAGAAGGAAACUAAGACCCCGACAGUGACGUGUCCCCAGUGACUCAGCCAACUCAAGGCAGAGCUGAGCCCAGGCAUCCAGUUUCCUGGUCCCUGCUCUGAGCAUUUGUCUCUGCGCCCACCCGGGUCCCCCUUCCUUCUCUGUCGCCUGGAGUCAUGAAGUGUGAAAGCCCUGAAAACCCUAAUCACCUGUUAGGGACAGUUCUGAGCCGCGGGCUGAGGAGCUUCCAUCACUUUAAUUAAUGACAAGGACGGAUGCUCUCGAUGGCAGCAGUUCCCAAAUAUCAGAAGACAUUUUAGUUCUGAAUGAGGAGACUCGCUGCACAGCUGUGCAUGUUUGGUGAGAAUCAGGGACUCAUCAGGAUGUGGCCUCCAGCGACAGCCGCCCCACCAGCAGGACGUUGAGAGUGUCCCCUGUGGAAAGGUGCGAGGAGCUUGCUGUCCCUGGGGUGAAAAGAGAGAGGCAGUGAGGGACAGAGGAGGUGGGACCUGGAGGCCAGUUCCCCAGCCUCUUCUCAGGCAAGUUCGUGUUGAUGGUGGCUUCCCAGGGGAUCCCACACUGCAGCUGAAGAGCUGGGGACUGUGCGGCAGGGGUCGGUGGUGGGCCCUACUUGUGCCCUAUGGCUCAGGCUUUCAGCUCAAGGGACUCACCUCUGCUCCUGGUUUUGCCUGCCUGGCUUGCAGGCCCCUGUUUUCUAUACCAGCACCUCAAUGUCCCUCAAGAGCCCCCUCACUCAGUCCAUGCCAUUCCCCUCCCAUGGGGGUGGGGGCGGGGAGAGCCCUCCAACCUAAACCACCUGAGAAGCACCUGAGUCCUUAAAUCCAGAGAAAUGAUCUCCUUCCUCUUUUAGAAAGACUUUAUUUAUUUAUUUUUUGCUUUUUUUACUUUUAUUUUUUGCUUUUUAGGGCUGCACUCGCGGCAUAUGGAGGGUCCCAGGCUAGGGGUUGAAUCGGAGCUGUGAGCUGUGGUGUAAGUUGCAGACCCAGCUCAGAUCCUGCAUUGCUGUGGCUGUGAUGUAGCCUGGCAGCUACAGCUCCAAUUCAACCCCUAGCCUGAGAACCUCCAUAUGCCAUGAGUGCGGCCCUAAAAAGCAGAAAGAAGGAAGGAAGGAAGAAAGGAAGGAAGGAAGAAAGAAGGAAGGAUAGAAAGAAGGAAGGAAAGAGAGAGAGAGAGAAAGGGAGAGAGAAAGAAAGAAAGAAAGAAAGAAAGAAAGAAAGAAAGAAAGAAAGAAAGAAAGAAAGAAAGGAAAGGAAGGAAGGAAGGAAGGAAGGAAAGAGAGAAAGGGAGAGAGAGAGAAAGAAAGAAAGAGAAAGAAGGAAAGAAAGAAAGAAAGAAAGAAAGAAAGAAAGAAAGAAGGAAAAGAAAGAAAGGAAAGAAAGAAAGAAAGAGAAAGAAAGAAAGGAAGAAAGAAAGAAAGAAAGAGAAAAGAAAAGAAAGAAAGAAAGAAAGGAAGGAAGGAAGGAGGAAGGAAGGAAGGAAGGGAAGGAGGGAGGAAGGAAGGAAGGAAGGAAGGAAAGAAAGAAAGAAAGAAAGAA
rnacentral:lncRNA from 1 species